rnacentral:rRNA from 1 species
UACAGAGGGUGCAAGCGUUAAUCGGAAUUACUGGGCGUAAAGCGCGCGUAGGUGGUUUGUUAAGUUGGAUGUGAAAUCCCCGGGCUCAACCUGGGAACUGCAUUCAAAACUGACAAGCUAGAGUAUGGUAGAGGGUGGUGGAAUUUCCUGUGUAGCGGUGAAAUGCGUAGAUAUAGGAAGGAACACCAGUGGCGAAGGCGACUCACUGGACAUCUGUUGACGCUGAGGUGCGAAAGCGUGGGGAGCAAACAGG